AGCGAUUUUGUUAAAAUAUGAAAGUGUUAAAAUAUGAAUUUUUUAGCUCCUGAUAAACUUUAAUUUAAUUAACUUUACCUGUGAAUUUAAAAUUGAAUUUUAUGUUAUUAUUAUUUAUCUUAUCAUACGGAUCAAGUUGAUACCAAAAUUAUGAUAGUUCAACAGUUACUUUAGUUAUUUUUGUUACUCUAAAAACUGAGCUAUUAUUGCGUCGUAAUAACUUGAACCAUUUUCUUUUUCUUGUUAACCGUUUUUUGGACUUUGGACAAUCAAACUAACCACUCAAUUAAUAAUAUUUAUAAAAGCCCUAAUGGGAUUUGUAUUGAAAGGACUCUAGUCCAUUUGUUUUGAAAGGACAUUUUGUCCAUUUAUUUUGAAAGGACAUUUUGUCCAUUGUGACUAAAUUAUAUUUUUAAAUUUUAUCUCAAAUUUGUAUUCGGCCUCAGGGGAGAAAAAUUGUUAAUUAUUGUAUUGUUUUCUUUUCCUCAUCAAUUAUUCCCUUCCUUGUCCCUCUUUCCCCUUUCCCUGGUACGGUCGUCAUUACCGGAAACGAUGAAUUUUAAUUCAUCGAAGCCUCCCCUGAGGCCGCUGUUAAAGCUUAAAAUAAAUAAAUAUGAGAGGUCUGACUGUACCUAAAA